rnacentral:lncRNA from 1 species
GGCCUAUAAAAUAUGUAUUUACCUUGUGUACUCAUUUGGAGGUUUAAAAUUUCACUGAGGAGACCUUUAACAUUUUUAUAAUAAUCAUUUUACUAAAGCAAAGAUUAAGUACACAUUUUCCCAACAUAACAAUUUCAUCUAUGGAUAGGCAUUAGCUACAUGAUUUUUCAUUUUAAAACCCCACAAUGAUUAUUUUUCAGACAUAAAUAAAAAAUACACUGGUUCUAGAUGCCAACAAAAUCACAUUUGCAAACCUUAAGAGUUUGGUAAGUUACAACAUUAAGAUGACUAACGAUAUGUGUGCAGUAUUCUCAGUAUAGAAUACCCAAAAUUCCCGUGUACAUCUGUGUUGCUUGAGUGUCCCAGUAUGGGAGGAGGUAGACUUGGCACAUCGAAAGCCACUGCUAUACUAAAGAAUCAUACAAAGUCUCAGGGAUUCUUCAGAGAAUCAGCUAUUAUAAAAUCCAUCUUGAUAAUUCAUUUUGUGCGAGAAUGUGAGAAUGAAAUGCAAAGGAGGUUAAUUUUACCCAGGAGAGCAUUCAUAUCCUUUUCCACUUGUCAGAAUAUACUUGAUUCAUAAGUGGUCUUUUACCGACCUACGACUACAUCACAAGAGCAUGCCAGCCACAGUGUCUUCCCUUAACACUUUGUGUUUUUUUGUAGGGAUUAUGGUCACAUAGUCACACGGUCCCUUCUCCUCCUGGGCAGGUCCUUUUCCCUUCUGUCCCAGCCUUGCUGCCAACACAAGAUCAUAUAGCCUCUGUGUCCACCCAGCCAGUUAAUUGUUCAUGGACCAAACUAGUGAUCUGGCCUCAAUCUCUCCACUGCCAGCUCUAGAUGCUAUUGAUUUUUACUGAUAAUAUAAGUAGUAAUAUACUGGAGAAAAUUUUUUAAAGCAUAAAACCAGGAAAACCCAUAAUCCAACUACCCAGAGUUUGCAUAUCCUUUCCAUCUUUUUAAAAGUCAUUUUUUGGAUUUAUACAUACAAUUUUGUAUAUCACUCUUUUCACUUAACACUAUAAGCACUUUGCCAUGCUGUCAAAUACUCUUCAGAAACAUAAAUUAUAAUGAUGGCACAACAGUCUACUGGAUAGUCAUACUGUAAUUUACUUAACCAAUUUUCUACUGUUGGACUUUAAGAUUGUCAAGCCUUGAUUUUGCCCACAUUUUAGACUAUUUCUUUAGGACAAAUUCCCAGAAGUGGAAUUGGAGGAUCAGAGGAUCUAAACAUUUUUAAAGCUCCUGAUAGAUAUUGCCAAAUUGCUUUUCAGAAAACCAUUGCCAGUCUACACUUCUAACAUUGCCAGUGUGUUUUUCUGCCAAUAUAGAUCUGUCUAAAGGAUAAUAAAAUUUAAAUGAAACACGCAGUCCUCUAAUUAUUAAUGCAGCUGGAGAGGCAUCAAGACCAGAGCACAAAGGCAUGUGGCAACAGUCAUACCUAUUUCCAGGUAUGCAGUUAACAAUGGGUUAGUGUGCACACACGGAACAGAAAAUUUGCAAGAGUGAAGAGUAAUAUAAUUAGAUUUCAGACCAUCUAAUCCAAGGCCUGUGUCUAUUUUGUACACUGCUGUAUCUCGGCACACAAGAUAGCAUCUGGCCCAUACAGCCACUCAAUAAAAAAUUGUUGAGUGAAUUAACACAGAAUCUUCUUUCAGAUGCAAUCUUUCAGCAGCUGUAGGGUUUAGUUACUCCUGAACUCAUAGGAAACAUGACUGACUGGAUCAGACAAUUUUGUAAUGGACUGUUCAAUGCUGAGAUUCUACUACAACUUUGGAAAAUCAGUUUAAAUAAAGGUGACACAAUAAAGAGCUCUCUAGGGGAAAAGACAAAUACACUUACCUAAAAGGACAGAUCUCAGCACCAGUUGCAAGGUGCAAAUACACAUAUGUAUCUGUAAUACAUAUAUAUAUUUGCAAGCAUGCAAAAAAUACAUUUCAGUGAGUUUUGUCAUCUCCAUAGUACACACUUUAAUAGGUGAUAACAUAAGCUUAUUCAAAUGCUACCCAUGGUCAAAUCAUUUUUGGGACUACCUUCAGUUCAUUCUAUUAUUGUUGGUUGCAGCUUGGCAUCAGUUUUAGUGUUGCCAACACUGGUUUUGAUAUUUUACAUGGGAAUAAUAUAGGUGGUUUUAUAAUAUCAUUUUUAGUCAAAAACAGCACAAAAUUUAUUUUGUGAACCAGAAUAUUUCAAGGUAAAAUAGCCAAUCAUUCAGCUUUAGUUUACUCUCCUGGCUCCACAGAGUCCCUCCAAUAUUCCACAAUUUCUUUUUUUUGUUUGAGACAGGGUCUCACUCUGUCGCCUAGGCUGUAGUGCAGUAGCACGAUCAUGGCUCACUGCAGCCUGGACCUCCUGGGCUCAAGUGAUCCUCCUGCCUCAACCCUGCAAGUAGCUGGGACUACAGCCACGUGCCACCAUGCCAGGCUAAUUUUUGUAUUUUUUUGUAGAGAUGGGGUUUCACCAUGUUGGCCCAGGUUGGUCUCUAACUUCUGGCCUCAAGCAAUCUGCCCGCCUCAGCCUCCCAAAGUGCUAGGAUUACAGACAUGAGCCAUCGUGCCUGGCCCACAAUUUCCACAAAUAAAUUGUCAGACACUGCCAGAUCAAUGUGGCAUUAAUAAUGUUAUUGAUGGAAAAUAAUCAUCUGUCAUUUUUAUAUACACACUUCAUAUACACUAGACUGGGGGUUAUAUCAAACUAUAGCCGAUGGGCCAAAUCUGUCCUGCCAUCUGUUUUUCUAUGGCCUAAAAGCUAAGAAUGUCUAACUUUCUUUUUUUGAGAUGGAGUCUCCCUCUGUUGCCCAGGCUGGAGUAGUGGCAAGAUCUUGGAUCACUGCAGCCUCCAGGGUUCAAGCAAUUCUCCUGCCUCAGCCUCUCGGGUAGCUGGGAUUACAGACACACACCACCACGCCCGGCUAAUUUUUAUAUUUUUAGUAGAGAUGAGGUUUUACCAUGUUAGCCAAGCUGGUCUCGAACUCCUGACCUCAGGUGAUCCACCCGCCUCGGCCUCCCAAAGUGCUGGGAUUACAGGUCUGAGCCACCGUGCCCGGCCUCUUUUUAACAUUUUUCAAUGGUUUAAAAAAAUCAAAAUAGUAUUUUGUAAAAACUAUAUAAAAUUCAAAUUCUAGUAUCCAUUUAUAAAGUUUUAUUGGAACACAGCUGUGCUCAUCUGUUUCUAUAUUAACUAUGUCUACUUUUGCACUAAAAUGUUUAGUGGCAAAAGAGACCAUAUGGCCCAUAAAGACUCCUUUAUAGAAGUCUGUUGACCACUGGACUAUGCCCAAGUGAGUCCUUGGAGGGGACCCACUGGAGCUCCCCACUAUAGAUUUUUUGUUUCCGGAUAUUAAUACUGGGAAAGGGGUGAUUCAACUAGGACAGUAUUUGCAAGGAUCUGAUAAGGGAGACACUGUAGAACAUAAAUACAUGAUGGUUACCUCAGAAAAGAUAUAAACGCCUGGUAAAAUCUGGGUGGGCUGACUGAAGAAGAAGUAAUUGGAGAAUGCACAGUAACAUACACAAUUUAGCAGCAAAGGUGUCCUCAAGUCAUUUAGCAUCCAGAUUUAUCCAGGCAUUUCCAAAGGCAAGUCUUAGUCUUUGACUAGAAAUUCAUCUGAAAAAAAGUUUCUGGGAAGGAGGCCCCAGGUAAACAUUCUUCCCCAAAUAACAUUUCAAUGAGGACUCAGUGAGGAUCAGAAUUCAGAAGAUGGCAGAACCCUCCACAUGUUUUUCUAAGUCACAGAUUUGGUGAACAUUUUAUUCUUUCUCUUUUUGAUCAUUACUAGUGGGGCAAAUGAAGCAAGGUAGGGUGGGGUGAUGGAAGGGGAGAAUUGCAUAAAAUCAGUGUUAGGAUGAUCUGCCCCAGAAGGCAUGUAUUCCUCUUAGACGCUCAGCUGUGGCAUAAAACAUUCCAUGUGGACUUUGAAUUAGAAUGAGCGUGGGGGCGGGGACAAAGAUCAACCUGAAAGCCAAACGGAGUCAUUGACCGAUGGUGUUAAGCUUGAGAAAGUUUGCAGAUGGCCAGCUCUCCUACUGACAUCCCACAGAAAGCCAGGCUUGAUCUAUUGUGGUUAGGUGGAGUUUCUCCUGCCAGGGAAAAUACAGUUGCUAGGAGAAUGGGCUUUGGAUGUUAUAACUCUGAAGAAGUUUCAUGACUCUUGCUACUAGAGGUAACCAUAUUGCCUCCUUGAGAAACUGGUGACACUGGGUGCCUCUGGGGAGUGCAACUGAGGGUGGCUAAGGUGCCCAUGUCCCUUAGAAAAAACAAAAUCAACACAUAAUUCCCCCAUGUCACCCCACCCUGCUUCUUUAAGAUAGGAAGGCAACCUGGGGCCAGGGCUGGAGCAGACAAUUUCCUUACUCAGCAGCUGAAGCGGGGAGCUGAAAGAAGGAUCCAAAAAAUCAGAGAAGAGUUGUAAGUUAAGUGGAAAACCAUGACCCAAAGGUCAAUACAAGGAUCAGCACACCAAAGUGACCAAAAGCAGCUACUGAAGAUGUGACCCAGGACCAGAAAACAAAGCAACAAGGAAAGAGAGGAGUAAGAGCAAACUGUGAAGAAUAAACUGAGAGGUGUCUGAAGAUAGUCAAGGACAAGAGCCUGGGGUGUGACGGACACAUAGCUGGAUGUGUGAGACUACGGGACCAGGAGCUCAAGAGGCCUAGGCAGCAAGGUGCAGGCCAGGGCAAAACGUGCAUCAGCAAUAAAAUAGAUUUGGUGGGUGGACACAUUAGGAGUACUCAUAUAAGAACUUUCCUAUUUGGAGAUGCCCAGAUCAUGCUCUACCCUUGGGUUUAGAAAUUCUGAGCAGCCAAAUGUGAAUGGUUUGCUCUGGAUAAGUCCUUUUCAUUAUAGCCAAUUGGAACCAUUUGAAUUCACACUCCUAAUUACCUGCUUCUGGUUGCUGUGUCUAAACCAUGUCUGGACCAACAUAGCUUCUGGUACUCUACACUCCACCAUGGGUCUUGGUCCAGCAUCACUGGCAGGGACAUACCAGCCCUGUUCAUAGGACUGGAAUAAAAUCCAGAAGUAAGUUGUCUCAGGACCUCUGUUUAAUAACAGGUUAGAAACAACUCCUGUAGGUAUGGUUGUGGGAUCCUGGCCUGGGACCAGGAGCAUAUAAAUCUGCAACAAUUACCACUGGGUAGGCCUUAGCAAGGAUUACUAUGAGGUUCAGCAACAAAGCUGCAAGAACUAGUGGUGGGGACUUUGUUCCUAAAGUGCAGUGUCCCUGGUGCCAAGUGCUUGUGGGCAACCUAGAGCCGCAUCUGAUGUAGGAAGACUUCAUUGUCCUGAAAUGGAAUGUCUAGAAACUGUUAAGGAGCUGGAGGUCUAUAAGCUGUUGUUUGGUUUAAGAGUUUUCUUACACAGUAUCUUCUCUUUGUGGGACAACGUCUAGCUUUCAAGGUGUCUCAAAACUAACAGGUGUUGACCCGGCGUGGUGGCUCACGCCUGUAAUCCCAGCACUUUGGGACGCCGAGGUGGGUGGAUCACCUGAGGUCAGAAGUUCAAGACCAGCCUGGCCAACAUGGUGAAACCCCGCCUCUACUAAAAAUACAAAAAAUAGCCGGGUGUAGCAGCAUGCACCUGUAAUCCCAGCUACUCAGGAGGCUGAGUCAGGAGAAACACUUGAACCUGGGAGGCGGAGGUUGUAGUGAGCUGAGAUCGUGCCACUGCACUCCAGCCUGGGCAGCAGAGCAAGACUCCAUCUCAAAAAACAAAACAAAACAAAAACAGGUGUUAAUGAGGAACUUGUAAUUUUUGGAGGUGAGUAGAGAAAGUGAAAGAACAGCACUAAAAGUAACUGUGAUGAAUGAGUGUUGUGCCUCUACUAUCAAGCAAUAUUGUUUAAGAGGAGCUGUUAUAUCUAAAAAUCCUUGAGUAAAACAAAGACUGGCCAAUUCUGUGAAAUGCUAUUACCAAACCCCUGCCCCCUGAAUGUUUCCAGUCUAUGUGGUAUUACUUGGAACCCACUUGGGAAAAGUUCCAUUCCAUAAAUCCUGGCAGAGGCAGGAAGAGAAGAGACAGAGUUUGAACUUGCAGAAACUGCUUGUCGGGGUCCAAAUGGAAAAUCAGAUAUCAAAUUGGUUGUUACAAACCUAUUCACAGACUCAGGGGAAGCAAUUUAACAACAAGUGGCAUAGAGUUGGAGGCUUAGGAGAGAAAGCAAAUUAUCCCAAAUUGUUCAUCUGCUGCAACACCAUUAUCUUCCUCUUUAAACUUUGUUAUUUUAGCCAAUAGUGUCAUCAUUUUCUAAUUCCUUUUUUUUUUUUUUGGGACAGAGUCUAGCUCUGUCGCCAGGUUGGAGUACAGUGGCGCAAUCUCCACUCACUGCAACCUCUGCCUUCCGGG